rnacentral:lncRNA from 1 species
AGCAAAGGUCGUCAGUGACAGGGAUCAGUUGUGGGCGGCGAGUGGUCCCUCUGCACACGGUAUCUGGGCCGAGUCUGGAUUCAUUAGAGUCCCCGGCGCCCAGCACUGAGUGGCAUGCAUAAGUAUUGGUGUCACGAACAACGGUCAGCCCCCGGCUUGCCCGCAAGGAAGGGCGUCGGGCGGAGGCACCAGUUCCUCCCGGAAGCUUUUUGUCGCUAUCGCCACCAGCCCCUGGCAGUGGCAGUGGCCGUGGCCGGGCGUGAAGGCGGCCUCUCGGGCUGCAUGCCUCCUGGAGCUGGGGCCACGUCUCAGUGGUGGAACGCCUAGUCGGGGCGUGGGGCUGAGCCCUCGUGUCCUCAGGGCCCAACCAGACAUAAGGCAGCGUGGUGCGGCGGAAAGGGGUCCCAAGGAAAGUCCUCGGAUCCAACUUCGAAUUACCGGCCUCCUCGCUGAGCCUUGGGAGAAACAGCGGUGCCUCCUUCCCGCGGGUGCGGAGAGGAAGAAUGAAACGUUGCCUACUCCCUGCCUCUUAUCUUCCUCUUUAUGCCUAGCCUGGAGCUCAACUCCAGGAUUGAAGACUAUCGCUGACCGGAGUGCUUUUCACGAUUCUGAAGCUUAUACCAGUAGAACUCACUGGGCACUCUGCAUUCUACUGACCUUAGAAAGAAGUAAGGUCAUAUUUGAUGUCCUUUUCUUUGGCUGGAAACCCGAGCCAGCCUUGGAAAAUACAAGCUCUUAACAAGGAUAGUGCUGUGGGCGCUGGCAUUUCCAUGAUUAGGUGAGUGGAAAUAGAUAGAGAUAUUGCAGCCACCCUCCUUAUGUCACCCUCAAUACAAUCACCUAUUGUUUAUCCUGAGAGAGUUCUUCCAAAGGCAGAUGAAAGCGUCGUGGUGUAUCUUGGGCAAAGAUGAUAAAAGGAGGCAAAAAUCCAAAAGUUUGACCACCUACUUGGUUAGCAGGCUAUGGAGAUGCCACAUAGUGCCAUUGAGAAUGCAAAAUGGUACAUGGCAGCUAUGGAAGGGAAUUUGAUAAUCCUCAGCAAAAUUACAUAUAUAUUGCCCUUUGCCCUAGAAACCCAAUUCUAGGAAAAUAUCCCAAAUAAUGACUUAAGCACAAGGUUAUUCAUUGCAGUAUUAUUUGUAAUAGCAAAAGAUUGGAAACAAUCCAGAUAACCCCAAAUAAGAGAUUGGUUGAACAAACUCGAGUAGAUCUACACAAUGAAACUAUGCAACUGUGAAAAAGAACGAGGGCCAUUUCUUUACACUGAGGUGAAAUGAUCUCCGAAUAUAUAUUAGUGUAAAAAAAAAAAAAAACCAAAGUGCAGAACAGUAUAUGUGCUUUUUUUUUGUAAGAUAGCUAAACUACAAAUGAGUAUUUGCAUAUAUUUGGAAUAGGAGGAAACAGGUGGAGGAGACAGGCGUGGAAGCUAGACUACUCUGAAUAAGCCUUGGCUAUAUGGUUUUGAUUUUAGAAUCAUGUAUAUGUUUUACAUUUUCAAAAUAAUUUCAAAUCCGAAAGAAAAAUGCAAUUCCUAAAAUUUGAAAACAAAUAAUCUAACUGUAUAUUAA